UACGAAGGGGGCGAGCGUUGUCGGAUUUACUGGGCGUAAAGGGCGCGUAGGCGGAUCUUUUAAGUCGGGGGUGAAAGCCUGAGGCUCAACCUCAGAAUUGCCUUCGAUACUGGAGAUCUUGAGACCGGGAAGAGGUAAGUGGAACUGCGAGUGUAGAGGUGAAAUUCGUAGAUAUUCGCAAGAACACCAGUGGCGAAGGCGGCUUACUGGUCCGGUUCUGACGCUGAGGCGCGAAAGCGUGGGGAGCAAACAGG
rnacentral:rRNA from 1 species